rnacentral:rRNA from 1 species
CGCAUCAUAAAGCCUAAUUCAUAAUAACAUAUUCAUUUAUUAUUACUACCAAGUCCACCUUCAUAAACUAAUUACAUAAUUCAAUCCAUAUUUAAUAAUUAUAAAUUGUAGCUCAUUAUAACCUUUUCUAUAAGCUGCAUUUUGACUUGACAUCACAAUUAUUAUUAUUAUGUCUCUAAUUUUACAAAAUAAACUGACGACAGCAAUAUACAUACUGAUUACAUUUCAAAAAAAAGUAAGUAUAUAUUGAGGAUUAUCAAAUUAAUUAACAAGCUCCCCUGGAUGGAUUUACGACACCGCCAAGUCUUUUAAGUUUCAAACAUAUAAUACUUCAAGUAUUUUAUUUAUACUGCUUUAGUAAUCAAAAUUUUAACAUAAAGAA